rnacentral:rRNA from 1 species
AACGAACGCUGGCGGCAUGCCUAACACAUGCAAGUCGAACGAGACCUUCGGGUCUAGUGGCGCACGGGUGCGUAACGCGUGGGAAUCUGCCCUUUGCUUCGGAAUAACAGUUAGAAAUGACUGCUAAUACCGGAUGAUGUCUUCGGACCAAAGAUUUAUCGGCAAAGGGUGAGCCCGCGUAGGAUUAGGUAGUUGGUGGGGUAAAGGCCUACCAAGCCGACGAUCCUUAGCUGGUCUGAGAGGAUGAUCAGCCACACUGGGACUGAGACACGGCCCAGACUCCUACGGGAGGCAGCAGUGGGGAAUAUUGGACAAUGGGCGAAAGCCUGAUCCAGCAAUGCCGCGUGAGUGAUGAAGGCCUUCGGGUCGUAAAGCUCUUUACCCGGGUACGUGAUAAUGUAACAGUAACCGGGAGGAAUAAGACUCCGGCCGU